rnacentral:rRNA from 1 species
CCUACGGGAGGCAGCAGUGAGGAAUAUUGGUCAAUGGACGAGAGUCUGAACCAGCCAAGUAGCGUGAAGGAUGACUGCCCUAUGGGUUGUAAACUUCUUUUAUAUGGGAAUAAAACGUUCCACGUGUGGGAUUUUGUAUGUACCCUAUGAAUAAGGAUCGGCUAACUCCGUGCCAGCAGCCGCGGUAAUACGGAGGAUCCGAGCGUUAUCCGGAUUUAUUGGGUUUAAAGGGAGCGUAGGUGGAUUGUUAAGUCAGUUGUGAAAGUUUGCGGCUCAACCGUAAAAUUGCAGUUGAAACUGGCAGUCUUGAGUACAGUAGAGGUGGGCGGAAUUCGUGGUGUAGCGGUGAAAUGCGUAGAUAUCACGAAGAACUCCGAUUGCGAAGGCAGUUCACUGGACUGCAACUGACACUGAGGCUCGAAAGUGUGGGUAUCAAACAGGAUUAGAUACCCUUGUAGUC